rnacentral:rRNA from 1 species
GAUGAACGCUAGCGAUAGGCUUAACACAUGCAAGUCGAGGGGCAGCAUGGUCUUAGCUUGCUAAGGCUGAUGGCGACCGGCGCACGGGUGCGUAACGCGUAUGCAACUUGCCUCACAGAGGGGGAUAACCCGUCGAAAGACGGACUAAUACCGCGUACACUCUAUGUUGGGCAUCCAAUGUAGAGGAAAUGAAAUUCGCUGUGAGAUAGGCAUGCGUCCCAUUAGCUAGUUGGUGAGGUAACGGCUCACCAAGGCGACGAUGGGUAGGGGAACUGAGAGGUUGAACCCCCACACUGGUACUGAGACACGGACCAGACUCCUACGGGAGGUAGCAGUGAGGAAUAUUGGUCAAUGGGCGAGGGCCUGAACCAGCCAAGUCGCGUGAAGGAUGACUGUCUUAUGGAUUGUAAACUUCUUUUAUACGGGAAUAACAAGAGUCACGUGUGGCUCCCUGCAUGUACCGUAUGAAUAAGCAUCGGCUAACUCCGUG